AGGUUUCCUUCUAAUGUCGGUGUUGUAAAGGCAGGGAUACCUGUGACCAAAUAGGGGCGGCUGGAGGACUUUCAAAAGACUGAAUCACUGUGACUGGGACAUGAGAUGGAUCAGGUGAAUGAACUGCAGGUGGAUAAUGUCUCUGGGCUGGAGGACUUUCAAAAGACUGAAUCACUGUGACUGGGACAUGAGAUGGAGCAGGUGAAUGAACUGCAGGUGGAUAAUGUCUCUGGGACAUGAGAUGGAGCAGGUGGAUAAUGUCUCUGGGACAUGAGAUGGAGCAGGUGGAUAAUGUCUCUGGGACAUGAGAUGGAGCAGGUGGAUAAUGUCUCUGGGACAUGAGAUGGAGCAGGUGGAUAAUGUCUCUGGGACAGAGGCCUU